AUUGAACGCUGGCGGAAUGCUUUACACAUGCAAGUCGAACGGCAGCACGGACUUCGGUCUGGUGGCGAGUGGCGAACGGGUGAGUAAUGUAUCGGAACGUGCCCAGUCGUGGGGGAUAACGUAGUGAAAAUUACGCUAAUACCGCAUACGAUCUAUGGAUGAAAGCGGGGGAUCGCAAGACCUCGCGCGAUUGGAGCGGCCGAUAUCAGAUUAGGUAGUUGGUGGGGUAAAGGCCCACCAAGCCAAUGGUCUGUAGCUGGUCUGAGAGGACGACCAGCCACACUGGAACUGAGACACGGUCCAGACUCCUACGGGAGGCAGCAGUGGGGAAUUUUGGACAAUGGGCGAAAGCCUGAUCCAGCCAUUCCGCGUGCAGGAUGAAGGCCCUCGGGUUGUAAACUGCUUUUGUACAGAACGAAAAGGUUUCUACUAAUACUAGGAGCUCAUGACGGUACUGUAAGAAUAAGCACCGGCUAACUACGUGCCAGCAGCCGCCGUAA
rnacentral:rRNA from 1 species